AUACGUAGGGUGCGAGCGUUGUCCGGAAUUACUGGGCGUAAAGAGCUCGUAGGUGGUUUGUCGCGUCGUCUGUGAAAUUCCGGGGCUUAACUCCGGGCGUGCAGGCGAUACGGGCAUAACUUGAGUACUGUAGGGGAGACUGGAAUUCCUGGUGUAGCGGUGAAAUGCGCAGAUAUCAGGAGGAACACCGGUGGCGAAGGGGGGUCUCUGGGCAGUACCUGACGCUGAGGAGCGAAAGCAUGGGUAGCGAACAGGAUUAGAUACCCUGGUAGUCCAUGCCGUAAACGGUGGGCGCUAGGUGUAGGGGUCUUCCACGACUUCUGUGCCGUAGCUAACGCAUUAAGCGCCCCGCCUGGGGAGUACGGCCGCAAGGCUAAAACUCAAAGGAAUUGACGGGG
rnacentral:rRNA from 1 species